rnacentral:rRNA from 1 species
CCUAAGCCAUGCGAGUCAUAUGUAGCAAUACAUGGCGUACUGCUCAGUAACACGUGGAUAACCUGCCCUUGGGACCGGCAUAACCCCGGGAAACUGGGGAUAAUUCCGGAUAACGCAUAUUUGCUGGAAUGCUUUAUGCGUCAAAAGGAUUCGUCUGCCCAAGGAUGGGUCUGCGGCCUAUCAGGUAGUAGUGGGUGUAAUGUACCUACUAGCCAGCGACGGGUACGGGUUGUGAGAGCAAGAGCCCGGAGAUGGAUUCUGAGACAUGAAUCCAGGCCCUACGGGGCGCAGCAGGCGCGAAAACUUUACAAUGCGGGAAACCGUGAUAAGGGGACACCGAGUGCCAGCAUCAUAUGCUGGCUGUCCGGAUGUGUAAAAUACAUCCGUUAGCAAGGGCCGGGCAAGACCGGUGCCAGCCGCCGCGGUAACACCGGCGGCCCGAGUGGUGAUCGUGAUUAUUGGGUCUAAAGGGUCCGUAGCCGGUUUGGUCAGUCCUCCGGGAAAUCUGAUAGCUCAACUAUUAGGCUUUCGGGGGAUACUGCCAGACUUGGAACCGGGAGAGGUAAGAGGUACUACAGGGGUAGGAGUGAAAUCUUGUAAUCCCUGUGGGACCACCUGUGGCGAAGGCGUCUUACCAGAACGGGUUCGACGGUGAGGGACGAAAGCUGGGGGCACGAACCGGAUUAGAUACCCGGGUAGUCCCAGCCGUAAACGAUGCUCGCUAGGUGUCAGGCAUGGCGCGACCGUGUCUGGUGCCGCAGGGAAGCCGUGAAGCGAGCCACCUGGGA